rnacentral:rRNA from 1 species
UACGGAAGGCAGCAGUGGGGAAUAUUGCACAAUGGGCGCAAGCCUGAUGCAGCCAUGCCGCGUGUAUGAAGAAGGGCCUUCGGGUUGUAAAGUACUUUCAGUCGUGAGGAAGGUGUUAAGGUUAAUAACCUUAGCAAUUGACGUUAGCGACAGAAGAAGCACCGGCUAACUCCGUGCCAGCAGCCGCGGUAAUACGGAGGGUGCGAGCGUUAAUCGGAAUUACUGGGCGUAAAGGGCACGCAGGCGGUUAAUUAAGUUGGAUGUGAAAUCCCCGGGCUUAACCUGGGAAUGGCAUUCAAGACUGGUUAGCUAGAGUCUUGUAGAGGGGGUAGAAUUCCAUGUGUAGCGGUGAAAUGCGUAGAGAUGUGGAGGAAUACCGGUGGCGAAGGCGGCCCCUGGGACAAAGGACUGACGCUCAUGUGCGAAAGCGUGGGGAGCGAAACAGGAUUAGAUACC